rnacentral:rRNA from 1 species
CCUACGGGUGGCUGCAGUGGGGAAUAUUGGACAAUGGGCGAAAGCCUGAUCCAGCCAUGCCGCGUGUGUGAAGAAGGCCUUCGGGUUGUAAAGCACUUUCAGUGGGGAAGAAAGCCUUGGGGCUAAUACCCUCGAGGAAGGACAUCACCCACAGAAGAAGCACCGGCUAACUCCGUGCCAGCAGCCGCGGUAAUACGGAGGGUGCGAGCGUUAAUCGGAAUUACUGGGCGUAAAGCGCGCGUAGGCGGUCUGAUAAGCCGGUUGUGAAAGCCCCGGGCUCAACCUGGGAACGGCAUCCGGAACUGUCAGGCUAGAGUGCAGGAGAGGGAGGUAGAAUUCCCGGUGUAGCGGUGAAAUGCGUAGAGAUCGGGAGGAAUACCAGUGGCGAAGGCGGCCUUCUGGACUGACACUGACGCUGAGGUGCGAAAGCGUGGGUAGCAAACAGGAUUAGAUACCCCGGUAGUC